UUCCCAUUACCAGAAUAUGACCAGGGUGAGACUGUGAAAUACAAAUGUGCAAGUUUCUACAUCCUGGAAGGACCUGAGCAAAUCACCUGCAUUGAUGGGCAGUGGACAAAUCCCCCAGUUUGCUUGGCGGCUUGUACGGCCUCUGAAGAAGAUAUGGACAGAAACAAUAUUGAGCUGAGAUGGAGAGAAGAAAGAAAACUGUACUCAACAUCAGGCGAUUUUAUUGAAUUUGAUUGUAAAAUAGGACAUGUGCAGGACCCAGCAUCUUCCCGCUUCAGAGUGCAGUGCAUGGACGGGACAUUAGAAUACCCACGGUGCAAGCCAGGAAGGAACUGUAGUUUGAGUGAGGUGGCUAUGAAGAGGAACAAUAUAAAACUAAAACACUGGAGAAGAUCUAACAUAUAUCG
rnacentral:lncRNA from 1 species